rnacentral:lncRNA from 1 species
AAAUUACAAUUUAAAUUUUAAUUUGAAUCUAUAAAUUUAAUUUAAGUUUGAAAUAAAAUUUGAAUAAAACUUUAUAUAAAUUAAAAUUUAAUUUAAAUUCAAAUUUAUAAGUUAGAUUCGAAAUACUUGAUUAAAUUUUAAUUUUUAAUCCAAGUUAAAAUUUAAAUUUAAAAUUUAAAAUUUAAAAUUUAAUUUCUAAAUUUAAACUCAUAUUUUAAUUAAAAAAGUUGAAAAAAUAAAUUUAAUCCAAAUAAAUAUACAUUCUGUCCGGAUUCAACUCCCAAUCCGGCCUCCUAGGCCGGAUUGAAAAAGGGGUAAUUAGGAGAUUCCCAUUCCACUCGGAAAUCGGAAUCGGAAUCGGAAUAGGAUUCCCGCGUAACAAAUACCCACAAACGGAUUCACCCAUUUUGAUUCCGAUUCCGGGGUGAAAAAGAAGCCAACCAAACUAAGGGCGUGUUUGGUUCGAAGUCGGAAUCGGAAUCAAAAUAACUCAUUACCUAAUUCUAUUUGGUUCAUUACCUGAAUCGGAAUCGGAAUAAAUUAUUCCCAUUGUCGGUGUUUGGUUCAGGUAAAUAUAAAAAACGUAAUCAUAUUAAUAUAUUAACUUUAUCUUU